rnacentral:rRNA from 1 species
GAUGAACGCUGGCGGCGUGCCUAAUACAUGCAAGUCGAGCGAACAGAUGAGGAGCUUGCUCCUCUGACGUUAGCGGCGGACGGGUGAGUAACACGUGGAUAACCUACCUAUAAGACUGGGAUAACUUCGGGAAACCGGAGCUAAUACCGGAUAAUAUAUUGAACCGCAUGGUUCAAUAGUGAAAGACGGUUUUGCUGUCACUUAUAGAUGGAUCCGCGCCGCAUUAGCUAGUUGGUAAGGUAACGGCUUACCAAGGCAACGAUGCGUAGCCGACCGGAGAGGGUGAUCGGCCACACUGGAACUGAGCCACGGUCCAGACUCCUACGGGAGGCAGCAGUAGGGAAUCUUCCGCAAUGGUCGAAAGCCUGACGGAGCAACGCCGCGUGAGUGAUGAAGGUCUUCGGAUCGUAAAACUCUGUUAUUAGGGAAGAACAAAUGUGUAAGUAACUAUGCACGUCUUGACGGUACCUGAUCAGAAAGCCACGGCUAACUACGUG